UGACAACAUUUUUUUCUUGAAUACAAAAAAAAGAAUAAAAUACAGAACAAUAUUCAAAACUUGUUUUUUUGAAAACCUGAUACGAGGCAGUGUCUGUUAAUGGUUAAACACAAAGCAUAAAUAAAGUGCUGCAACACACUCUAGAAUAAAUGUGAGACUUGUUUUCCUUCUAUUGUGAUAUAAGUAAAUGAUUUCCAGGAGCAAUAACUACCGUGAGAUCACCAAGGAGGUUAAUGGUGCGACGAACGAUGAUAAAAAGCUUGGUACCAUAUUACAACCACACAUAAAUAGUUUUACUGUAGUACAAAGCGUCUCUAUUCUCAUAAUUUUUGAUGUUUCUGCACAUUACAUAGUUGAGUGUCAUUACAGUGGCACCCUUUUAUUUAACGUUGUUGCUUACUUUAACAUCUGAAAGAUACGAGCCAUAAAGCUUGCAACCUCACAAGCAAACUGGCAGACUGUAGAACUUCAAUGUUGUUCCACUGAACAACAUAUGGAUUUUGGACGGUCUUCACAUUCAAAGUCACCCCGUCCAGCAUAAUGACGCCAAGUGAGGUUUCUCAUAGAAGAGUACUGGACUUAAUAUUUUUUCUAUGAGCUUUAUUUGAUUGUCAGAGUGCGCCCAUUGCCACACAUGCACUGUAGGCCUCCAAUUAGACCAGAGAGCAUCAUGACCGAUGAUCUCACAGUAGGUAGUUCUGGCUGCUACAAGGAGACUGUCUUGGUGCUGGAUUACAGGUAGGUUUAAUAUAUAUUUUAAACUGUUUAUUCGUACAAAUGGGAGGCUCUAAAUCUAAACCAUCAGAGGAACACUAACAUAAUAAAUGUAGUUUUAAUGUUAAAGUGUUCCUUUGUUGUGCUGCAAAAUAUAGUACUACAAGUAGGACCACAGUGUGUCUAAGAUGCCACAAAUACAGCCCCAAGGAUACAGCAGUUCUUGGGAAAAAAACCAAAACAAAACAGAAGCAAAAGAAAAGAAAGUAAAUACAGUGGAACUUCAGAACUCGAACUUAACCUGUUCCAGAAGGCGGUUUAAGAACCGACUUGUUUGAAAACCGAAUCAAAAUUUUCCAUAAGAAUUAAUGUAAAUUAGAUCAAUCAGUUCCAGAUCCCCAUAACUACAGCAUUUCUAAAACAAAUUUUACAGUUUAAUAAUACUUUAAAUGCAUAAAAUCAUACAGAAAUAAAAUAAACACAAUGUAAAUGAAAUGAAAAUUUUACUUCACUUUACCUUUCAGCUCUGUUUGCUGACAGAAUGGAGCUCUGUUCAGUUUGUCUAGUGCUAGGAGGCCGAUGCAUCAUUGCAACGAGGUUCCAAAGAGGUACCAACAAGGUUAAUGCCGUGUGAUUUUGUUCUAGUACCGAGUUUUGUUCGGGUACCGAGACCUUUUUUUCUCAAAUUUUAUGUUUGAAUACCGAAUUAAUGGGCCAAUUUACUAUGCAGUGCUUAGCAAAACAUAUUCAAAGAAAUGGGAAAAGAUGUAUAAUGGUUGAAAACAAUACCAUCCUGGGUUUCUGGAGACAUUCAUAAACCAUUCAACCUUCCAUCCAUUGCGUGCUACAGAUGAAAGUGCAGAUGAAAGUGCACUAAAUGAAAGUGCAUUUAUUGUGAAAAAUUAUCUUUUGAUAAUGUAUAUUAAAAAGAUAGAAAUGUUUAUGGCCUUCUUGAUUAAAUUUAUUUAUUUUUAAUUGAAAGAAGAUUACAGACCGUUGUCUAAGCAGUGUAUAUCAGUAAUCCAGAUAGUUAGGUCAACUACUGUUUGUAAAAUAUGUAGUAGAUAAUUAAACAGAAUGGUCUCAAUUUAACAAAGUUGCACAUGUUAAUAACAUAUUCUGCAACAUAUAAAAAUAGAAUUUUCUCUGCCAGUUCCUAUUUAACAAUUAAUUUUUUUCCAGAUGCGGGGCUGUCAUUGUUUGUUGCAAGCUGGAAUCAGGAGGGGAAUUACUUGAUAUCCACUGACCACAUGUUCUACCUCUGCAAAGUAAACCUUACAUAAUGCUAGUUUAAUUUUGUUUUCUCAUGUAUUUAACCAAGUGGUUGCUUCUAUUAUUUGGUGAAUAUAUAAACACCGAGCCAUAUGCUUUUAAUAUGAUCACACUUGGUAAGGUUGAAGUGGCUUAUUUGGAAAGGUGAAUCAUUAAUCAAUGCUAUUCAGACAGCCACUACCUAUGUUUUCAUUCUAUAGAACUUCACAAUAACUCGUUUGGGUGUUCCCUCCCACUCUUCCUUGGCUACAGGUAAUCCCAGUAUCAGAAGGUGAGAGGGUUAAGGUCAGAAUUUAAGGAGCCAUAAAUCUACUAAAGUAUAUGAAGGGUUUAGAAGAAGAUAAUAAAAAGAGGUCAGUACCUCCCCCCAACCGAAAACAAGGACAAUAAGAAUCAAAAGUAGAUGUUUGCUCACUUAAAGAAAGCUUCUUAGCUGGUUUUGUUGUUUGCUGAAUUGCAGAUCUAUGCAGUGAAAUUGCAGCACACUCACACCAUUGAAGAGAUCUCAAAAUUCUCUCACCACUAACAAGAAGCAUCAUUAGUGGCUAGAGUAUAAUAAGAAAUGUUUUCUUGGAGAAAUAAACGAGUUGGGGGUCGCUAGACACUUGUAGUCAUUUUAUACAAUACCAACUUCAGUAUUAAGUGGAAGUAAAAAGAACCUACUGUAAAAUUUCUUUACAGGAAAACUUAUUGAUCCACUAAAUAGUCUUUGAGUGCAAACAACACUAAGGUUUCUUUAAAGACAUGUCUGAAGAGACCAAACCAUUGGUCUUGCAAACGUAAAGACCUUUUAACUCUACUUGGCUAAUAACAGAACAGGC